rnacentral:rRNA from 1 species
GACGAACGCUGGCGGCGUGCUUAACACAUGCAAGUCGAACGGAGUGGCGAACGGGUGAGUAACACGUGGGUGAUCUGCCUUGCACUUCGGGAUAAGCUUGGGAAACUGGGUCUAAUACCGGAUAGUGCAAGAUGAGCUCGCGGCCUAUCAGCUUGUUGGUGGGGUAAGGGCCUACAAGGGCGUCGACGGGUAGCCGGCCUGGGAGGGGGUACGGGCACAGUGGGCCUGGGGUACGGCCCAGAGUCCUACGGGAGGCAGCAGUGGGGAUUAUUGCACAAUGGGCGGAAGCCGGAUGCAGCGACGCCGCGUGGGGGAUGAAUGCCUUCGGGGUGUAAACUCCUUUAGACAGGGACGCGGUACCGGUAUAAGAAGCACCGGCUAACUACGUGCCAGCAGCCGCGGUAAUAC